AGCAUCCAUUCCAAGGGUGUCGAAAAGGGGUCAUACAAUUCUAAAAUUAAGAAAUCAUUAUUUAAAAUAUUAACUAUUUUUAUAUUAAGAUAACCAGAAAAUUCGAAUUAGUAAUUUUUUAUAAAAAUAUAAAAUUCUAUUAUAAAAAUAAUAAAUAAAUAUUAUUUUAUUUAAUAUUCCAUCUACGGCGUACAUACAUACAUACAUGAUUCGGUGUAACCGCCGCCCCUUUGAUGUUUGUAUGUCAAUAUGUAAUUAUUGAAUAAAUGAUUUCUGUGGAGGCCAACAAAGUCAAAUCACACAAUCUUUCUCGGUA